CUCCGGUUGAUCCUGCCGGACCUGACUGCUAUCGGAUUGGUACUAAGCCAUGCGAGUCGUUGUAGCAAUACAAGGCGGACGGCUCAGUAACACGUAGUCAACCUAACCUAUGGACGUGGAUAACCUCGGGAAACUGAGAAUAAACCGCGAUAGAUCAUUAUGCCUGGAAUGGCUUAUGGUUCAAACAAUUUAUUGCCGUAGGAUGGGACUGCGGCCUAUCAGCUUGUUGGUGAGGUAAUGGCCCACCAAGGCUAUAACAGGUACGGGCUCUGAGAGGAGAAGCCCGGAGAUGGGUACUGAGACACGGACCCAGGCCCUAUGGGGCGCAGCAGGCGAGAAACCUUAGCAAUGUGCGAAAGCACGACUAGGUUAAUCCGAGUGAUUUCUGUUGAAGAAAUCUUUUGUCAGUCGUAAAACCACAGACGAAUAAGGGGUGGGCAAGUCUGGUGUCAGCCGCCGCGGCAAUACCAGCACCUCGAGUGGUCAGGACGUUUAUUGGGCCUAAAGCAUCCGUAGCCGGCUCUGCAAGUCUUCGGUUAAAUCCACCUGCUCAACAGAUGGGCUGCUGGAGAUACUACAGAGCUAGGGAGUGGGAGAGGCAGACGGUAUUCAGUGGGUAGGGGUAAAAUCCUCUGAUCCAUUGAGGACCACCAGUGGCGAAGGCGGUCUGCCAGAACACGUUCGACGGUGAGGGAUGAAAGCUGGGGGAGCAAACCGGAUUAGAUACCCGGGUAGUCCCAGCUGUAAACGAUGCAAACUCGGUGAUGCAUUGGCUUAUGGCCAAUGCAGUGCCGCAGGGAAGCCGUUAAGUUUGCCGCCUGGGAAGUACGGACGCAAGUCUGAAACUUAAAGGAAUUGGCGGGGGAGCA
rnacentral:rRNA from 1 species